UACAGAGGGUGCAAGCGUUAAUCGGAAUUACUGGGCGUAAAGGGUGCGUAGGUGGUUUGAUAAGUUAGGUGUGAAAGCCCUGGGCUUAACCUGGGAACUGCGCCUGAUACUGUUGAACUAGAGUACUGUAGAGGAAGGUGGAAUUUCCGGUGUAGCGGUGAAAUGCGUUGAUAUCGGAAGGAACGCCGGUGGCGAAAGCGACGUGCUGGCCCUCUUCUGACGCUGAGGCGCGAAAGCCAGGGGAGCGAACGGG
rnacentral:rRNA from 1 species